GCUUCAUAGUGUACUGGUUAACACAUCCGCUUGGCAAGUCAUAGGUUGCUGGUCCAAUUCCAGCUGGAGACA
rnacentral:tRNA from 1 species